rfam:Rhodococcus rhodnii LMG 5362 LMG_5362_contig132, whole genome shotgun sequence.
CGUGCUCAGCCCGACCCCCCGGGGCUGAGCCCAGACGACCCCCGCCUCCUCCCCCCUGGCGGGGGUCGUCCUCU